UUACGGCCAUAUCACGUUGAAACAUUGGUUCCCAUACGAUCACCGAAGUUAAGCAACGCUGAGUUGGUCUGUGCCUAGAUGGGUGACCGCUUGGGAAUACCAAGUG